CCUACGGGUGGCAGCAGUGGGGAAUAUUGCGCAAUGGGCGAAAGCCUGACGCAGCGACGCCGCGUGAGGGCUGAAGGUCUUCGGAUCGUAAACCUCUGUCAGCAGGGAAGCACGGUCACUGUGCUAAUCAGCAGUGCAUUGACGGUACCUGCAAAGGAAGCACCGGCUAACUCCGUGCCAGCAGCCGCGGUAAUACGGAGGGUUCGAGCGUUAAUCGGAAUUACUGGGCGUAAAGCGCUCGUAGGCGGUAUGUCAAGUCAAGGGUGAAAUCCCCGCGCUCAACGUGGGAACUGCCUUUGAAACUGGCAAACUGGAGUGUGUGAGAGGAUAGUGGAAUUCCAGGUGUAGGAGUGAAAUCCGUAGAUAUCUGGAGGAACAUCAGGGGCGAAGGCGACUAUCUGGCACAUAACUGACGCUGAGGAGCGAAAGCGUGGGUAGCAAACAGGAUUAGAUACCCCUGUAGUC
rnacentral:rRNA from 1 species